ACAGCAGCAGCCGCGGUAAUACGAAGGGUGCAAGCGUUAAUCGGAAUUACUGGGCGUAAAGCGUGCGUAGGUGGUGGUUUAAGUCCGUUGUGAAAGCCCUGGGCUCAACCUGGGAAUUGCAGUGGAUACUGGGUCACUAGAGUGUGGUAGAGGAUAGUGGAAUCUCCGGUGUAGCAGUGAAAUUCGUAGAUAUUCGGAGGAACACCAGUGGCGAAGGCGGCUCACUGGUCCAGUACUGACGCUGAGGUGCGAAAGCGUGGGGAGCAAACAGGAUUAGAUACCCGCGUAGUCCCUGUCUCUUAUAC
rnacentral:rRNA from 1 species